AUUGAACGCUGGCGGCAUGCUUUACACAUGCAAGUCGAACGAGUGGCGAACGGGAGAGUAAUAUAUCGGAACGUACCGAGUAAUGGGGGAUAACCAAUCGAAAGAUUGGCUAAUACAGAAUAUUAUUCGAGCGGCCGAUAACUGAUUAGCUAGUUGGUGGGGUAAAGGCCUACCAAGGCGACGAUCAGUAGCGGGUCUGAGAGGCGGAUGCGACACACGGGGACCGUGACCCGCCCCAGACUCCUACGGUAGGCAGCGGUAGUGCAUGUGUGACAAUGGGGGCAUCCCUGAUCCAUCCAUGCCGCGUGUAUGAAGAAGGCCUUCGGGUUGUAAAGUACUUUUGUUCGGGUAGCGGUACCUAAAGAAUAAGCACUUGCUAACGACGUGCCUGCGGCGGCGGUAAUAC
rnacentral:rRNA from 1 species